rnacentral:rRNA from 1 species
CACGUAGGGUGCGAGCGUUGUCCGGAAUUAUUGGGCGUAAAGAGCUCGUAGGCGGUGUGUCGCGUCGGCCGUGAAAACCUGCAGCUUAACUGUGGGCUUGCGGUCGAUACGGGCAUCACUGGAGUUCGGCAGGGGGAGACUGGAAUUCCUGGUGUAGCGGUGAAAUGCGCAGAUAUCAGGAGGAACACCGGUGGCGAAAGGCGGGGU